AACCUGUAUCUCGUACUAUUAAAAACCCGCGAUUUAUUCGCGUGGUUUUUGAUAUCAUAAUGUACGAGAUAUAUGCUGGUGGAUGCUCGGAAAUUGUAUGCUAUUGGCAGGCAUUUGCUUGUUUCUAUACAUAUAGUUUCGAUAUUCGAUACGAUGAAUUUAAUUUCUUUCGCUUCUGGUGAAUAUUUAGAUUCAAUCGUAUUCUGGCUGCGUUGGAAACGUUGCGGUCAGAAAUGCAGAUUCUGUAUUAUCGCGCACUUUUCUGGCCUGUCGGACCAGCGAAAUUACUUUGAACAAAUUAGAGUGCUUAAAGCAGGCAAAUUUUAUGCCUUGAAUAUAAACAGCAUGGAAUAAUAGAAUAUGAUCUCGAUACUGUUUGUUUGAUGCUUUUUUGUUUUUCGGAGCAAAAAUGUGUUAUUCAUCUGACAGUACACAUUGGUUUUAAUUGACUAGUGUUGUAUGGUCGAUGGAGUAAAAUUGGCUUAAAGUGACAUUAUCAGCUGAUCGGCUAAAGCAGUAGGUGAAAAAUUGAUGGAAAAUGUUAUUUUAACGUUUCCAUAAAAAUCGGUUUCUUAUCCUACUGUGACGGUUUGCAUUUUGUUCACGACAGU
rnacentral:rRNA from 1 species